rnacentral:piRNA from 1 species
UGGAGCGUUUGAUUUGUUCAA